UAGGCUUUGAGAAUAAUACAUGUUGACACACCCCAGAGCGAUCCCACAGAUCCUCCCAAGAUCCCCGACCUUAAACUGUAAAGCAUAGGCAGGGAGGAAGGAAGUAUUAUUCCCCGAUAUUCCAGGCAAAACAGACAGACAGCGAGGGAUCUCCAAAAAAUGGAGGUAUAGUUAUCCUCCAUGAUGGACGACGGUACUUACUACGGAGGAGAAUAGUACCGAGGUUGGCCCCCUCCUGUUCUAAAUUCGCUAGAACAUCGUUCCAUUGCAUUUCUGCAUUUAUUCGGCCGAAGUUUAUUUGUUGUCUAUCGGUCUAUGCUCUUUUCUUUGGGUGGUGGAGUCGGUGCUAGGGAAUAUCAUGAUCAACCAACCCUGCGACGAGUGACAGAUCGAAUCAUACUUCUCCGUAAUUCUCUGUGUUCUUCUUGUACGGAGUACUGGGUAUCGUAUCCAUACGGGCGACCCCCACCGAACUACUGACUCGCAACAACGACGACGAAAGCCGCCCACUCCCGUAAACUCGAUCAGAAUUCGGACGAAGAUACUAGACUAUUGUUUGCCGAUGCGGAACGUUUGGAAGGAUUUUCAUUCGCAGAGAAGAAAGGACGGCAGGGCUGGAAAGUUUUCUCGGGGGGUCCGAUUGAGGGAGAAGUGAUAUCAUCAUGAUCAUAUGUGGAUGAUAGACUUGUGUUAAAAUUAAGUAAAAUAAAUAAAAUAAUAAUAUACAAGAAAG
rnacentral:sRNA from 1 species